AACAAGGGAAGGAAAGGUAGAAAAAAGGCUAUGUGGGUAAUAGUAAAGGCUCCUCGACAACAAGAUGCCAAACAAUGUGGUUACUAUGUGAUGCGAUUUAUGAGACAAAUUGUUGAAGAAGUUGAAAUUAUCGAAAGAGAUUCACUACCAUCUAUAUUCACACAAGCAGAGUAUUCUCGAGAAGAAAUUGAUGAGAUGCGA